UACGUAGGGACCGAGCGUUGUCCGGAUUCAUUGGGCGUAAAGAGCUCGUAGGCGGCUGUUCAAGUCGAACGUGAAAACUCGGAGCUCAAAUCCGAGCCUGCGUUCGAUACUGGACGGCUAGAGUCUGGUAGGGGGAUCUGGAAUUCCUGGUGUAGCGGUGAAAUGCGCAGAUAUCAGGAGGAACACCGGUGGCGAAGGCGGACCUCUGGGCCUUACCUGACGCUCAGGCGCGAAAGCUAGGGGAGCGAACUGG
rnacentral:rRNA from 1 species